rnacentral:rRNA from 1 species
UACGUAGGGGGCAAGCGUUAUCCGGAUUUACUGGGUGUAAAGGGAGCGUAGGCGGCGGAGCAAGUCAGAAGUGAAAGCCCGGGGCUCAACCCCGGGACGGCUUUUGAAACUGCCCUGCUUGAUUACAGGAGAGGUAAGCGGAAUUCCUAGUGUAGCGGUGAAAUGCGUAGAUAUUAGGAGGAACACCAGUGGCGAAGGCGGCUUACUGGACUGACAAUGACGCUGAGGCUCGAAAGCGUGGGGAGCAAACAGG